UACGUAGGGUGCGAGCGUUAAUCGGAAUUACUGGGCGUAAAGCGUGCGCAGGCGGUUUUGUAAGCCGGAUGUGAAAUCCCCGGGCUUAACCUGGGAAUGGCAUUCGGGACUGCAAGGCUGGAGUGCGGCAGAGGAGACUGGAAUUCCUGGUGUAGCAGUGAAAUGCGUAGAUAUCGUAAGGAAGACCAGUGGCGAAGGCGGGUCUCUGGACAGUUCCUGACGCUGAGGCACGAAGGUCAGGGGAGCAAACGGG
rnacentral:rRNA from 1 species